rnacentral:rRNA from 1 species
UAGGGAAUCUUCCGCAAUGGACGCAAGUCUGACGGAGCAACGCCGCGUGAGUGAAGAAGGAUUUCGGUUCGUAAAACUCUGUUGUUAGAGAAGAACAGCGCAUAGAGUAACUGUUAUGCGUGUGACGGUAUCUAACCAGAAAGCCACGGCUACCUACGUGCCAGCAGCCGCGGUAAUACGUAGGUGGCAAGCGUUGUCCGGAUUUAUUGGGCGUAAAGCGAGCGCAGGCGGUCAAUUAAGUCUGAUGUGAAAGCCCCCGGCUCAACGGGGGAGGGUCAUUGGAAACUGGUUGACUUGAGUGCAGAAGAGGAGAGUGGAAUUCCAUGUGUAGCGGUGAAAUGCGUAGAUAUAUGGAGGAACACCAGUGGCGAAGGCGACUCUCUGGUCUGUAACUGACGCUGAGGCUCGAAAGCGUGGGUAGCAAACAGG